ACGGCCAGGUCACAUUGAAAGGUCGGUUCCCGCACGAUCACCGAAGUUAAGCAACGUUGAGCCUGGUUAAUACCUAGAUGAGUGAUCGCUUGGGAAUCUCAUGGGCUGUAA